rnacentral:rRNA from 1 species
AUGAUAUACAUAAUACCACAAGUUUUUUUUUCACCAAUAGCAACGGUCAGGUUUCAUCGGAUAGGACGAUGGUGCCCCUCUUCAAACACUAAGAAUACCCGAGGUCCGGUUCCGCGGAUCUCUCUUUCUCCCACUAUCGCAUUCCUAAUUGGGAUUGGCAUCUUUUUUUUUCUCCCUGAUGAGGUGGUGCGAGAAAUUUCAGAUGUACUAAUUUCUAGAAGCAUUUGUUCUGAUACUUUUACAUGGGAUCUUCUGUUCACUCUGACGAGCUUCGGGCAAAACCAAUUCCCAAGGUGUGACGGGCGGUGUCGCGAGUUUGCAGAGAUGAGAACCAUGAAAAGCAAGAUCUUGAAUAAGAAAACAGAAACCAAGGAAGAUGAAACGGACACUAACAUCAGACAACUCUCAAAUGGAUUUGGUUGUCUAUGA